rnacentral:rRNA from 1 species
UGAAACUGCCUACGCAAGUAGUGAGGAAGGAGGGGAUGACGUCAAAUCAGCACGGCCCUUAUGUCUAGGGCUACACACGUGCUACAAUGGUCGAUACAAUGGGUCGCUACCUGGUGACAGGAUGCUAAUCUCAAAAGUCGAUCUCAGUUCGGAUCGAAGUCUGCAACUCGACUUCGUGAAGUUGGAUUCGCUAGUAAUCGUAUAUCAGCAAUGAUACGGUGAAUACGUUCCCGGGCCUUGUACACACCGCCCGUCAGGCCAUGGAAGUUGGGGAUACCUGAAGUCAGUGACCGCAAGGACAGGAAACAGGUAUGACCAAUAACUGGGGAUAAGUCGUAACAAGGUA